ACGGAAGGCAGCAGUGGGGAAUAUUGCACAAUGGGGGAAACCCUGACGCAGCGACGCCGCGUGAGUGAAGAAGUAUUUCGGUAUGUAAAGCUCUAUCAGCAAGGAAGAAAAUGACGGUACUUGACUAAGAAGCCCCGGCUAACUACGUGCCAGCAGCCGCGGUAAUACGUAGGGGGCAAGCGUUAUCCGGAUUUACUGGGUGUAAAGGGAGCGUAGACGGUAAUGCAAGUCAGAAGUGAAAGCCCAAGGCUCAACCAUGGGACUGCUUUUGAAACUGUAAUACUAGAGUGCAGGAGAGGUAAGUGGAAUUCCUAGUGUAGCGGUGAAAUGCGUAGAUAUUAGGAGGAACACCAGUGGCGAAGGCGGCUUACUGGACUGUAACUGACGUUGAGGCUCGAAAGCGUGGGGAGCAAACAGGAUUAGAUACCCUGGUA
rnacentral:rRNA from 1 species